GGGGGGGGGUGUGUGGGGAGGGGACAUUUGAAAAGGAUGUUACAUUUUUUUUUUAAUCUUCCUUUACACUCACACUGAAGGUCAGAGCUGCAAUGCAAUAUGGAUUCUCGGGCUUCUGCCCAGUGCAUGGCUACAUGGUCUCUACAGUUUCCUAGUCAUGCAAGUGUGAUGGGAGAAAGGCUGUACUUUAGCUGCACUCAGUUCUCAGUGCCACUCCCGGAGAGAGCAGGACCCUGUUUAGGGUGAUGACCCCAUAGUGGGUAGAAACUCUGAAGUACAGAGGGACUCUGGAUGUUGCCCGCUUAGAAAGGAAAGAGUUUGCCCCAAUGGAGGUCAAAAGCAUCACUCCACAGUCUGAAAGGGGAGGGGGAGAAUGCACAGUCUUCUAUCACCCAGGGAAUUAAAUUAAAUUCACUGCAGAACACAGUUGGGAUGUGUUCACUGAAAGCAGAGGCAUACAUACACAGGGUGGCAGAACCGCUGCUGGCCAAGGUGAAGGGGCCAGAGCUGUAUGUGGAGAGGUGGAAGAUGCUUCAUGAGCUAAAUCCCAAUCCCAGGGGAGCUGGUAAGACCAUGGUCAACUCAGUGUUCAUGACAGACACACUUAACCUUAUCUGCUAUUUGGUGAGAGCAGGACACGCAAAAGUGUGUUGUGAGGUA
rnacentral:lncRNA from 1 species